GAUGAACGCUGGCGGCGUGCCUAAUACAUGCAAGUCGAGCGAACGGACGAGAAGCUUGCUCUUCUGAUGUUAGCGGCGGACGGGUGAGUAACACGUGGAUAACCUACCUAUAAGACUGGGAUAACUUCGGGAAACCGGAGCUAAUACCGGAUAAUAUUUUGAACCGCAUGGUUCAAUAGUGAAAGACGGUCUUGCUGUCACUUAUAGAUGGAUCCGCGCUGCAUUAGCUAGUUGGUAAGGUAACGGCUUACCAAGGCAACGAUGCGUAGCCGACCUGAGAGGGUGAUCGGCCACACUGGAACUGAGACACGGUCCAGACUCCUACGGGAGGAAGCAGUAGGGAAUCUUCCGCAAUGGGCGAAAGCCUGACGGAGCAACGCCGCGUGAGUGAUGAAGGUCUUCGGAUCGUAAAACUCUGUUAUUAGGGAAGAACAAAUGUGUAAGUAACUAUGCACAUCUUGACGGUACCUAAUCAGAAAGCCACGGCUAACUACGUG
rnacentral:rRNA from 1 species